rnacentral:rRNA from 1 species
CGAGGACUUCGGUCCUAGCGGCGGACGGGUGAGUAACGCGUGGGAACGUGCCCUUUGCUACGGAAUAGCCCUGGGAAACUGGGAGUAAUACCGUAUGUGCCCUUUGGGGGAAAGAUUUAUCGGCAAAGGAUCGGCCCGCGUUGGAUUAGGUAGUUGGUGGGGUAAUGGCCUACCAAGCCGACGAUCCAUAGCUGGUUUGAGAGGAUGAUCAGCCACACUGGGACUGAGACACGGCCCAGACUCCUACGGGAGGCAGCAGUGGGGAAUCUUAGACAAUGGGCGCAAGCCUGAUCUAGCCAUGCCGCGUGAGCGAUGAAGGCCUUAGGGUUGUAAAGCUCUUUCAGCGAGGAAGAUAAUGACUGUACUCGCAGAAGAAGCCCCGGCUAACUCCGUGCCAGCAGCCGCGGUAAUACGGAGGGGGCUAGCGUUGUUCGGAAUUACUGGGCGUAAAGCGCACGUAGGCGGACUGGAAAGUCAGGGGUGAAAUCCCGGGGCUCAACCCCGGAACUGCCUUUGAAACUCCCAGUCUUGAGGUCGAGAGAGGUGAGUGGAAUUCCGAGUGUAGAGGUGAAAUUCGUAGAUAUUCGGAGGAACACCAGUGGCGAAGGCGGC